AGUGAACGCUGGCGGUAGGCCUAACACAUGCAAGUCGAACGGCAGCACAGUAAGAGCUUGCUCUUACGGGUGGCGAGUGGCGGACGGGUGAGGAAUACAUCGGAAUCUACUUUUUCGUGGGUGAUAACGUAGGGAAACUUACGCUAAUACCGCAUACGACCUACGGGUGAAAGCAGGGGAUCUUCGGACCUUGCGCGAUUGAAUGAGCCGAUGUCGGAUUAGCGAGUUGGCGGGGUAAAGGCCCACCAAGGCGACGAUCCGUAGCUGGUCUGAGAGGAUGAUCAGCCACACUGGAACUGAGACACGGUACAGACUCCUACGGGAGGCAGCAGUGGGGAAUAUUGGACAAUGGGCGCAAGCCUGAUCCAGCCAUACCGCGUGGGUGAAGAAGGCCUUCGGGUUGUAAAGCCCUUUUGUUGGGAAAGAAAAGCAGCAGGUUAAUACCCCGCUGUUCUGACGGUACCCAAAGAAUAAGCACCGGCUAACUUCGUG
rnacentral:rRNA from 1 species